rnacentral:rRNA from 1 species
AACGAACGCUGGCGGCAGGCCUAACACAUGCCAGUCGAGCGAGAUCUUCGGGUCUAGCGGCGGACGGGUGAGUAACGCGUGGGAAUAUGCCUCUUGGUACGGAAUAGCCUCGGGAAACUGGGAGUAAUACCGUAUGUGCCCUUUGGGGGAAAGAUUUAUCGCCAAGAGAUUAGCCCGCGUUGGAUUAGGUAGUUGGUGGGGUAAUGGCCUACCAAGCCGACGAUCCAUAGCUGGUUUGAGAGGAUGAUCAGCCACACUGGGACUGAGACACGGCCCAGACUCCUACGGGAGGCAGCAGUGGGGAAUCUUAGACAAUGGGGGCAACCCUGAUCGAGCCAUGCCGCGUGAGUGAUGAAGGCCUUAGGGUUGUAAAGCUCUUUCAGCUGGGAAGAUAAUGACGGUACCAGCAGAAGAAGCCCCGGCUAACUCCGUG